UGGGGAAUAUUGGACAAUGGGCGAAAGCCUGAUCCAGCCAUGCCGCGUGUGUGAAGAAGGUCUUCGGAUUGUAAAGCACUUUAAGUUGGGAGGAAGGGCAGUAAGCGAAUACCUUGCUGUUUUGACGUUACCGACAGAAUAGGCACCGGCUAACUCUGUGCCAGCAGCCGCGGUAAUACAGAGGGUGCAAGCGUUAAUCGGAAUUACUGGGCGUAAAGCGCGCGUAGGUGGUUCGUUAAGUUGAAUGUGAAAGCCCCGGGCUCAACCUGGGAACUGCAGCCAAAACUGGCGAGCUAGAGUAGGGCAGAGGGUGGUGGAAUUACCUGUGUAGCGGUGAAAUGCGUAGAUAUAGGAAGGAACAACAGUGGCGAAGGCGACCACCUGGGCUCAUACUGACACUGAGGUGCGAAAGCGUGGGGAGCAAACAGG
rnacentral:rRNA from 1 species